rnacentral:lncRNA from 1 species
GGGAGAAGCGGCUGAAGCGCCCAAGUUGCAGGCGGCUCGCUGCGCAGACGUGCCGCUCAGCCUGCAAGUGGAAGCGGCACCGCACCGGGGCUCGGCUGUCGCUCCCGCGGGGGCAGCGCUGCCCGGGGGCCGCUGACAACGCCCCGGAGAGACCCCACCGCCGCUUCCCACGGGGAAAGACGAGACCGGCGCUUCUCGGUCCCCCUCACCGCUGGGGCAGCUCCUGCCUUUCCCGCAGGAGCACCAGCCGGCGCACCCUCGGAGGGCGGGAGAGGACCGCUCUCCUCCAGAAGCGCAGCGGGAUGCGGCGGGCACCACCGGUCGGGAGCGACCCCCGGCGAGCAGGGAGCCCGCGAUCUGCUUAAGAGGCUGUGGUCUUGUUCUAAGUCAUUUAAGAAAUGAACUAAGGAACAAUUUACAUGGGAGAUUAAUGAGUGUGAGGGACUUUGGUAAUAUGGUGACAACAUUUUUUCAGCACCGCUAUAGCCAGAGGCUGUUUUUGGGAACAUGGCUCUUGUGUAACAGAUUUGCAGAGCUAUGCUGGAAUGCAUGUCAUUAUACUGUCUGGGCACCUCAGCUGUGA